UUGAGGUGCUAGCAUUUUGCUAAGAUUUUAACUCCCUUUCUCUAACUAGCAGUUUGGAAUGGUAAUCUCUCUGUUAUGGGGGUUGCGCUUCCUCAUCAGUAUUAGGAAGACAGCCUUGUUCUGGGCAGCCUCCAACUCAGAGAUCCGGAAACAAACGCUCAGCUCCUCCAACAAUGGCCCGGAGAGUUUGGCUCCAGAACAGAAGUCGACGGCUUGGGUUCCCAUCCGGACAGGCAUGGAGGCGGCUCUUGCGCAGGCGCGGUGGCUUUGUUAGCGAUAGAGUCUUGGUCGGCAUGAGCCACAAACCCGGGAGCCCGACGGUCCGAGGCCGCCCUCCACGCGCCCCCUCCCAGACGUGGCGGUCGAGCUGGGGAAAAUGUCAUCUGACUUGUGCAGCAGCCUUUACACAUACCACUUAUACAACUACCUUGUCCUGUCAAGCCCUGGAAGGGGCACAGACUAAGCCUUUAAUAGGUGAAGAUGUGCUCUGCAAGUGCUAGAUUUCUAAUGUACCUCACUUGCUCACCUGGCCCUAGGUUUGAAUGGUGCAGAAGUGCAGUUCCAUGCAGCCAGGGCAGCUGGCUGUGUCAUAUAGCCCUGUGGCCCUUGUGGAACCUGAACCUAAAAUUAGAGUGUUUUGUAGAGAGGAGCCUGCUUGUACAUCCAGCUUUGCUGUAAUGCUUGCUUUUAUCAAAAUUCUCAAUUACAAGCAAGAAAGACUCAGCCCCUGGUGGGUGGUUGUAGCAGUUUGAUAUGGUUAUGAAUUCCAAAAAUAGAUAUUGGAUUAUGUUUGUAAUCUUGUCUAUACCUGGGCAUGAUUAAGUUAUGAUUAGGGCUUCAAUUGGGCCACGUCAUUAGGGCUUUGAGUCCCAUCCCCCUUGAUGGGUGGGGACUCACAGAUAAAAGGCAUGGCAAAGGACAGAGCUGAGGGGUUUUGAUGUUGGAGUUUCAGUGUUUGAGUUUGAUGCUGAAGACUUAAGUGGGAGCCCUGGAAAGUAAACUCACAGAGGAAAGAGAAGCCAGCCACAGGAAGAGAGGAACCUUGAGCCCGGGAAGAAGCAAGCCCUGGGAAGAGAGGAUCCCUGAACCCAAAGAGAAGCCAGACCCUGGAAGGGAGAAAUCCAGGAAGCCUGAGCCCUGGCAGAUGUCGGCAGCCAUCUUGUUCCAAUACAUGAAAAUAGACUUUGGUGAGGGAAGUAACUUAUGCUUUAUGGCCUGGUAUCUGUAAGCUCCUACCCCAAAUAAAUACACUUUAUAAAAACCAACAA
rnacentral:lncRNA from 1 species